rnacentral:rRNA from 1 species
CAGUCGAACGAUCUCUUCGGAGAUAGUGGCGCACGGGUGCGUAACGCGUGGGAAUCUGCCCAAGGGUCCAGGAUAACAGUUAGAAAUGACUGCUAAUACUGGAUAAUGUCUUCGGACCAAAGAUUUAUUGCCCUUGGAUGAGCCCGCGUUGGAUUAGCUAGUUGGUGGGGUAAAGGCCUACCAAGGCGACGAUCCAUAGCUGGUCUGAGAGGAUGAUCAGCCACACUGGGACUGAGACACGGCCCAGACUCCUACGGGAGGCAGCAGUGGGGAAUAUUGGACAAUGGGCGAAAGCCUGAUCCAGCAAUGCCGCGUGAGUGAUGAAGGCCUUAGGGUUGUAAAGCUCUUUUACCAGGGAUGAUAAUGACAGUACCUGGAGAAUAAGCUCCGGCUAACUCCGUGCCAGC